rnacentral:rRNA from 1 species
AUUGAACGCUGGCGGCAGGCCUAACACAUGCAAGUCGAACGAGUGGCGGACGGGUGAGUAAUGUAUGUGAAACUGCCUGAUGGAUGGGGAUAACUACUGGAAACGGUAGCUAAUACCGCAUACUAUCAGAUGUUCCCCUGUGGGAUUAGCUUGUUGGUGGGGUAACGGGUCGCCAGGGCGACGAUCCCUAGCUGGUCUGAGAGGAUGAUCAGCCACACGGGAACUGAGACACGGACCAGACUCCUACGGGAGGCAGCGGUGGAGAAUAUUGCAAGAUGGGAGAAAGCCUGAUGCAGCCAUGCCGCGUGUAUGAAGAAGGCCUUAGGGUUGUAAAGUAGUUACAGCGGGGAGGCGUUACCCGCAGAAGAAGCACCGGCUAACUCCGUGCCAGCAGCCGCGGUAAUAC